AACGAACGCUGGCGGCAUGCCUAGCACAUGCGAGUCGAACGAGACCUUCGGGUCUAGUGGCGCACGGGUGCGUAACGCGUGGAACCUGCCCUUAGGUUCGGAAUAACUCCCCGAAAGGGGUGCUAAUACCGGAUAAUGUCUUCGGACCAAAGAUUUAUCGCCUUUGGAUGGGCCCGCGUUGGAUUAGCUAGUUGGUAGGGUAAAAGCCUACCAAGGCGACGAUCCAUAGCUGGUCUGAGAGGAUGAUCAGCCACACUGGGACUGAGACACGGCCCAGACUCCUACGGGAGGCAGCAGUGGGGAAUAUUGGACCAUGGGCGAAAGCCUGAUCCAGCAAUGCCGCGUGAGUGAUGAAGGCCUUAGGGUUGUAAAGCUCUUUUACCCGGGAUGAUAAUGACAGUACCGGGAGAAUAAGCGCCGGCUAACUCCGUG
rnacentral:rRNA from 1 species